rnacentral:rRNA from 1 species
UACGGAGGGAGCUAGCGUUGUUCGGAAUUACUGGGCGUAAAGCGCACGUAGGCGGCUUUGUAAGUUAGAGGUGAAAGCCCGGGGCUCAACUCCGGAAUUGCCUUUAAGACUGCAUCGCUCGAGUUGUGGAGAGGUAAGUGGAAUUCCGAGUGUAGAGGUGAAAUUCGUAGAUAUUCGGAAGAACACCAGUGGCGAAGGCGACUUACUGGACACAUACUGACGCUGAGGUGCGAAAGCGUGGGGAGCAAACAGG